GUUCAACUGUCCAAGUCAGUCUCCACAGGCUGGUAAUGGGUUAAGAAGAAACAUUUCACUGCUGUUCUGGCUUGUCCUAGAUGCCAACCGAGGACCGUGCAGACCUACAUGAUGUGUUUCUCAUGUAUGUGAAUCCCCAUCAGGACCAUCUGCCAGUGUUUGGACACGAGUUGAAGGUGAUAUUAAAGCAGAUGUUAG